UAUUCUUAAUAAAGUUAACACGUGUACACAAUUGAAAUGCUGCUAAAUAGGGUGCAACUUACAGAUGGAGGUCAAAUAAAUGACAAUUGUAUACCAUACUAUUUAAUAAUUGUUUAAAAUAAACAGAUAGACCUGACGCUGUUUAGGUAUUGGUACAGACAUGCCUGAUGCACGCCAGAUGCGUGAGCGUUGACAAUCCUGAACAUGGCUGGACUUGAACAUCACAAAUUCAUGCACAUUUGUGUAGACUUUGUCCAGACAGUUCUCCCCUCUUAUGGCAAAGUUCACAUGCUGAUAUAAUUUAGGUAGAACCAACUUCAUAUUAGCAUGAUUAAAGUCGCCAGCAACAACGAAAAAUCCAUUCAGGUGCGCCAUUUGUAGCUUGCUGAUAGCUUCGUACAGCUUGCCUAGUGGCUGGUUGCAUUGGAGCUAGGUGGGAAAUAUACAACUACCACUGCGUUGAAUUCUUCCAGCAGGUGACAGUCCACCUGCACUUGAGGGGACUAGAGAGUGACGACAUCAGUGCACAUUCUUUCCACAUCAGACAGUGAAAACGAAAACCUAUGAUAUGGACAUCACUGACGGAACAAGUGAGGUACAGAAUUCUUCAGAUGCUCAAGCAACGACGCGAACAAGAUCUUAUCACAGGUGACAUGGAUGGAAUGAGACUGCGGCUGGAGAUGAGCAAUAUCAAGGAACAGUGAAAAUAGCCAGUGUGUGACACAGUCAUCUACCAAGAGAGCUUGCAAAUUGUUUAAUCAAAUAGGCAUCUGCUCUGCUCUUCCUAAACAUGCUUAAUGAUGGAAGAAACAUGCUUAACCCCUGGAAGAGUGGAAUCCCAAAAAAAAAAAAAAUCUCAGGAGAUUUUUGUCAUCUUUAUGUUUAAAUAUGAAUAUGUAGACAUAUAUAUUGUAGAAUAUUUAUGUUCACAUUAAUUUGUUCAAAUGUGUGUUCACUUGUUUUAUUACUGCAGUGCUUAUUACAGACUGCGCAUGUGCAG